UUGAAGUUAUAACUUAAGUUCGAAUUUUUAUAAUAGUUUAAUACAAUUAAAAUUUUGAAAAAGAUGAGAGUUUGGCGACCACAGACAUGUUUUUUAAUAUGUAUGAUCCUAAAGCUUAUGGCGGUUGUAAUUUUAGCUAGUUUGUUUUUGAAGAAAACAGCAAUUCUCUUUGUAAAUCCGAAACUAGUGGAGCUGAAUGAUUUUCAAAUUUUUAUGAAUGAUUGGUGCCGGGUAAGACAGGCAAGAACGGAAACUCAGAGCAUCUUAGCGUCAUGUCAGGAUCAACUGAAAUGGACGUACGAUCAAAAUGGUACAGAAACUAAUGCUUCUAUGAGUUUUAUUUCCAAGUGGGAUCUAAAGCCAGCCGGGCAAUUUAGCCGAUUUUUCAUUCAAACGGUUUCAAGUGAAGGAGCUUUGAAAACGACCGGAGGAGACUGGUGGAGAGUACGAAUUCGUAGUUCUGUAGCAUCCUUGCCGUCAACGGUAUUUGAUCAUAGAGAUGGGACGUAUGAAGUGAUAUUCUUGAUUGUGGAGCACGGAAUCUACUAUCUGGAUAUUACACUCGAUCACUCGCUAUGCAAUGGCUUCAAAGAUCCACCACAAAACUGGUUUAUUCUUGGAAAUGCCCAAGGAAAAAUGCAGCCAAAUGGAGUUUUGAGAGGUCGUGCAAAACAAGACUACUUACUUCAGCCUUUCCAAGAUGGGAGAAAAUUAACGAUAAAUAUAGGACUUCCCGAUGGGAGAGGCUUGUUUGUCUUCAACAGUUUGCCCAGAGAUAUUCUCCUGCAGCUGGGGAAGAAGUUUGACUUAAGUUGUGGAAUGAAAUGUCAAAUGAUAUGGGAUGGUUAUGGAAGAUGGGCAGAUGAGAAAUGGAAACCUUAUUUGAAAGCCAGAGAUGGGAAAGUAGAAAGCAAGAAUCUCGACAAGAAUGAUGAUGUAAGCCAAACAAGAAGUCCACUGUACAACACAUUAUGGAUUUAUGGAGAUUCACAAGCGAAACGAAUGUAUGAGGAAGUUCAAAACACGAGUUUGUGCAAGACAAUUUUCAGAGUUUGCAAACUGAGUAGUAACUGGGUUUAUGCGUACGAGGGAGAAAUGCCAAGACAAGAUGAUCUAGAUUUUGAUUACAAAAGAAUAACUAAUGACAUAAAAAGAGUUUUAGAUGUUGAAGAGAUGUCUGAAAACAGUGUAAUGGUUUUAAAUCUUGGACUUCACUUCGUACAAGCAACCAACUUUUCCAAUUACAUAAAGCUGCUUCGUGGAGUUGUGGACGUUAUCGAAACCCGUCAACGAGAAGGAAAGAAAAAUGUGAGACUGAUUUGGAAAACUACCACAGAAAUUUCUAAGCACAAAGACACUAAAGAUUUGCUUUACUGUGAUUUUAAAAGAUUUUUUACUAAUGCGCGUGUCGCAAUGUACAAUGCAUAUGCGACGUCAUUCAUGUGUCAAAAGGGAUUUGAGAUUCUGGAUGUUCAUCCGCUGACAGCAUCUUAUCCAGGUGGCACAGAAGAUCUUGACCCGUGUCGAAUUGACGAACCCGAUCUGUUGCCAGGCAAGCGCGCCAACGGCAUAACUGAUUCUUUUCAGUUCUCAGCACCAACGAGAAGACAAGGACACUACGAGAAAACAGAACAAUCAACAUUUCCCUGAAAUAUAACCGUGUCAAAGGUGAAUUAAUCUGUUAUGUACGUCUUUGUUGGAGCUUUUUGUUAGUGUUUAUGACGUCAGUAAUUGCACAAGUUCAGGCCGUCUGUUGCAUCACAGUUGGAUGAAAAUGCAUGGGCAUGACGAGAGAAUGCAUUACUGACUAGCUAUAGAAACAUAGAACCAUUGCAUGCAAUUAGCAGCACGUAAUAUUCGAGGCAAUUUCCCAUGGCAUACUGCACUUUUGGAUCAUGAAUGUUUUUCGAUUUAUUGUUAGUUACCAUUCUGUUUGUCUGCUUUCCACUGUCGCGUUUUUUAGCAGCUAUACGUACACACGCACGUGUAAGUUAAAAUAAUUUUAAUAAUACUUAUAAAAUCUACGAUUGAAUAAAUGCGUACAUCUGCGUAGGCUUGGAUUUUGCUGAAGAUUUGGUAUGUUCUUUCUCCAAUAGAAAUAAUUAUAAAAUAACUUACGUAGGCUUCGCUGGUAAUCAUUGACCUUGUUUAAAUGAGUAAAAAGCCAUAAAUUGAAAUGAUGAAGGUCAAGGAAUGCUCGAAGAAAUGCUUCCCAUUCAAUAUAUCGUUUCAAACAGGGCGCCUUUUUAACAAAAAGCGGUCGACUUUUGGAUAUGUUUUAAUAACUGUCUGAAUCAAAUAUCGUUAUCGAUAUAACUAAAACCCCAUAUGCCUCUUACAUUCGACAAACCUUGUGCAGAUUUGACUUUAGAUUGUGAUUUAAACAGAUCUCGGCUAUCUGAGAAGAGAACUUCCUCACAAAGACUCAUUGUCUUUGAUCACAACGACGGAAUUCUUGUUAUAUUUUGCAUAUAGAUAGGUUUGUAUAACGUACCUCAAGCGAUAAUGAAUGCAAUUUCUAACAUUUGUUACUUUUUAGCCGGACACCAGAAACAGGAAUGAAAAUAAGGUAAGUGUGCCACCAGUGGCAGUGCGAUGUUAGUUGCACUAACUUGUGCAAGCAGUAUAACAAAGGGUGUAAUUUGCAACCAAGCAGUUUGAAUAUAUUAGACAUAGCUCACUGAUGAAGAACACUGUAUAUUUUUUUAAUUUAAACACAGUGUAGGGAGCAAACAGUCUCACAGUGUGGUCAUCUGUUUUGGAAACAACGUGCACCAACGAGAAGACAAGGACACUACGAGAAAACAGAACAAUCAACAUUUCCCUGA
rnacentral:misc_RNA from 1 species